rnacentral:rRNA from 1 species
AUUGAACGCUGGCGGCAGGCCUAACACAUGCAAGUCGAGCGGAUGAAGGGGGCUUGCUCCUGGAUUCAGCGGCGGACGGGUGAGUAAUGCGCAGGAAUCUACCUCGUAGUGGGGGAUAACGUCUCGAAAGGGGCGCUAAUACCGCAUACGUUCUGAGGAAGAAAGCAGGGGACCUUCGGGCCUUGCGCUAUGAGAUGAGCUUGCGUCCGAUUAGCUAGUUGGUGGGGUAAAGGCCUACCAAGGCGACGAUCGGUAACUGGUCUGAGAGGAUGAUCAGUCACACUGGAACUGAGACACGGUCCAGACUCCUACGGGAGGCAGCAGUGGGGAAUAUUGGACAAUGGGGGCAACCCUGAUCCAGCCAUGCCGCGUGUGUGAAGAAGGCC